UAACCUGCCUUGGAGUGGGGAAUAACACAUCGAAAGAUGUGCUAAUACCGCAUAAUGCAGUUGGGCCGCAUGGCUCUGACUGCCAAAGAUUUAUCGCUCUGAGAUGGACUCGCGUCUGAUUAGCUGGUUGGCGGGGUAACGGCCCACCAAGGCGACGAUCAGUAGCCGGACUGAGAGGUUGACCGGCCACAUUGGGACUGAGACACGGCCCAGACUCCUACGGGAGGCAGCAG
rnacentral:rRNA from 1 species